rnacentral:misc_RNA from 1 species
GAAAUAUUUGAAGCAGCUGCAGUAGCACGAUCUUCCAUUCAAAGGAGAGCACGACAAUAUCGUGCAAUUUCUAGUCAACCAUCCCAGAAAAUAUUGGGAAGUAAUGGACCCACAUCAACUAUGAAAACUGAAGCUAAAGAGGAAAAAAGUAAAAUUUCAGAAGCAACUCCUGCUGUGUACUAUUCCAGUACAUCCAGGUUGCCUCUUUCAGCCAAGAGGAGGAAACUUCCCAAUGUUGGUGACUCAGUCCACGUUCCUUCGCUUAACAAGCAAGCUUUAGUCCUGAAAGUCG